AAUUGUUUAAUGUGAUAGAUGCUUCAAUGAAUUUGUGUAGAUUACAAAUUACAAAUAUGAGAUUCUAUCUUGGAUUAUUAGGCAUUCUACUAAUCAUUAAUACAUCCCCAAUCAUUUUCUCCAAGAUAUUCCCUUCAUAUAUUUUAACUCUUUCUUGUUUUUUCUUAACUUUUUUUUUCCUCACUUUCUUAUUAACCAAGCACUCUGCAAAUUAGGAAUUAACUAGAGAAAUCAAUAAAGAUUUCCAUGAAUCUUCAUGCCUCAAACCUAUGUUGAUUAAAUAUGUGUGCAUAUAUAUCCAUAACAGUUAGGAGUUAUUAUGGGUUCUACUUAAGGUCUAACGUUUAACUCUAUGGAUUGUAAAUUAACUCCAUCACCCAUCUCAGGAAACAUAAGUAAUUGAUUCUACUUAAGGUCUAACGUUUAACUCUCUACCUAGGGACCCGGUUGAGAUCCCUUGGGGCAAUUAUGGGGCUGAGUAUAUUGUUGAAUCUUCUGGGGUCUUCACAACAACUAACAAGGCCUCAGCUCACAUAAAGGAAAAAAUGAUACAUUCGUGCAAUAAUGCUUGAAGGAGCAGCUCAUCUUACUUGAAGGAGCAGAAGCAGAGUUAAGGCGCAUAGUCCAACAACAAGAAAAUAAGAUAAACAAUUGUAUGGACUAUAUAUAUAUAUAUGAAAAUAUGAUAUUUGAU